GAUGAACGCUGGCGGCGUGCUUAACACAUGCAAGUCGAACGAGAAGUGAAGACGGAAACCUUCGGGCGGAAGACUUUAUUUCGAGUGGCGGACGGGUGAGUAACGCGUGGGUAACCUGCCUCAUACAGGGGGAUAACAGUUGGAAACGACUGUUAAUACCGCAUAAGACCACAGCACCGCAUGGUGCGGGGGUAAAAACUCCGGUGGUAUGAGAUGGACCCGCGUUCGAUUAGCCAGUUGGCGGGGUAACGGCCCACCAAAGCGACGAUCGAUAGCCGAUCUGAGAGGAUGACCGGCCACAUUGGGACUGAGACACGGCCCAAACUCCUACGGGAGGCAGCAGUGGGGAAUAUUGCACAAUGGGGGAAACCCUGAUGCAGCGACGCCGCGUGAGUGAAGAAGUAUUUCGGUAUGUAAAGCUCUAUCAGCAGGGAAGAAAAUGACGGUACCU
rnacentral:rRNA from 1 species